AAAUGAAUAGACGGGGGCCCGCACAAGCAGUGGAGCAUGUGGUUUAAUUCGAAGCUACGCGAAGAACCUUACCAGGGCUUGACAUGGUUCUAAGACCCUAGAAAUAGGGGGAUAUACAGAACACACAGGUGGUGCAUGGUUGUCGUCAGCUCGUGUCGUGAGAUGUUAGGUUAAGUCCUCCAACGAGCGCAACCCUUGUCCUUAGUUACCAUCAUUAAGUUGGGGACUUUAAGGAGACUGCCGGUGUAAGCCGGAGGAAGGUGGGGAUGACGUCAAAUCAUCAUGCCCUUUAUGUCCUGGGCGACACACGUGCUACAAUGGUCGGUACAAUGAGUGGCCAACUCGCGAGAGUGAGCGAAUCUCCUAAAGCCGAUCUCAGUUCGGAUUGAAGUCUGCAACUCGACUUCAUGAAGUCGGAAUUGCUAGUAAUCGUAGAUCAGCCAUGCUACGGUGAAUACGUUCCCGGGCCUUGUACACACCGCCCGU
rnacentral:rRNA from 1 species